rnacentral:tRNA from 1 species
GGACUCGUGGUGUAAUUGGUUAACACGUUCGCCUCAUAAGCGAAAUGAUGCAGGUUCGAGUCCUGCCGAGUCCA